AUGAACGCUGGCGGCGUGCUUAACACAUGCAAGUCGAACGGUGAAGCAGAGCUUGCUCUGUGGAUCAGUGGCGAACGGGUGAGUAACACGUGAGCAAUCUGCCCCUGACUCUGGGAUAAGCGCUGGAAACGGCGUCUAAUACCGGAUACGAGCUGCGAAGGCAUCUUCAGCAGCUGGAAAGAAUUUCGGUCAGGGAUGAGCUCGCGGCCUAUCAGCUUGUUGGUGAGGUAACGGCUCACCAAGGCGUCGACGGGUAGCCGGCCUGAGAGGGUGACCGGCCACACUGGGACUGAGACACGGCCCAGACUCCUACGGGAGGCAGCAGUGGGGAAUAUUGCACAAUGGGCGAAAGCCUGAUGCAGCAACGCCGCGUGAGGGACGACGGCCUUCGGGUUGUAAACCUCUUUUAGCAGGAAAGAAGCGAAAGUGACGGUACCUGCAGAAAAAGCGCCGGCUAACUACGUGCCAGCAGCCGCGGUAAUACGUAGGGCGCAAGCGUUAUCCGGAAUUAUUGGGCGUAAAGAGCUCGUAGGCGGUCUGUCGCGUCUGCUGUGAAAACCCGAGGCUCAACCUCGGGCCUGCAGUGGGUACGGGCAGACUAGAGUGCGGUAGGGGAGAUUGGAAUUCCUGGUGUAGCGGUGGAAUGCGCAGAUAUCAGGAGGAACACCGAUGGCGAAGGCAGAUCUCUGGGCCGUAACUGACGCUGAGGAGCGAAAGGGUGGGGAGCAAACAGGCUUAGAUACCCUGGUAGUCCACCCCGUAAACGUUGGGAACUAGUUGUGGGGUCCAUUCCACGGAUUCCGUGACGCAGCUAACGCAUUAAGUUCCCCGCCUGGGGAGUACGGCCGCAAGGCUAAAACUCAAAGGAAUUGACGGGGACCCGCACAAGCGGCGGAGCAUGCGGAUUAAUUCGAUGCAACGCGAAGAACCUUACCAAGGCUUGACAUAUACGAGAACGCUGCAGAAAUGUAGAACUCUUUGGACACUCGUAAACAGGUGGUGCAUGGUUGUCGUCAGCUCGUGUCGUGAGAUGUUGGGUUAAGUUCCCGCAACGAGCGCAACCCUCGUUCUAUGUUGCCAGCACGUA
rnacentral:rRNA from 1 species